rnacentral:hammerhead_ribozyme from 1 species
AUCUAGUUGAUGAGUCCUAAAUAAGACGAAAUGCGCGUCCUGGAU